rnacentral:rRNA from 1 species
UCCUGGCUCAGGAUGAACGCUGGCGGCGUGCUUAAUACAUGCAAGUCGAACGAAGCACUUAUGACAGAUCCCCUCGGGGUGAAGACGUUGUGACUGAGUGGCGGACGGGUGAGUAACGCGUGGGUAACCUGCCUUAUGCAGGGGGACAACAGUUGGAAACGACUGCUAAUACCGCAUAAGCGCACGGCACCGCAUGGUGCAGUGUGAAAAGAUUUAUCGGCAUAAGAUGGACCCGCGUCUGAUUAGGUAGUUGGUGAGGUAACGGCCCACCAAGCCGACGAUCAGUAGCCGACUUGAGAGAGUGAUCGGCCACAUUGGGACUGGGACACGGCCCAGACUCCUACGGGAGGCAGCAGUAGGGAAUAUUGCACAAUGGGGGAAACCCUGAUGCAAGCGACGCCGCGUGAGUGAUGAAGUAUUUCGGUACGUAAAGCUCUAUCAGCAGGGAAGAUAAUGACGGUACCUGACUAAGAAGCCCCGGCUAACUACGUGCCAGCAGCCGC